CCUGAUGCCGCGAGCAGUGUCUAAGUAGGCUAAACCUGGUAGAUAGCCGUCAUCUUUGGCUGAGAGAAGCUCCAUUAAAAGAUCUCCUAGCUCUCUUAAUUUGAGGUUGUCUUUACCUGAAAUCCUGGGAAAACUGUCUAACUUCUUAAACAAUGCACUUUCGAUUACUUCAGGUGAGCUGUAGCAUUCAUCAAGUCUGUUCCAGACCAUUUUCAAGGCUGUGUCUGGGUUUCCUAUGUGAACUGCCCUGAGACGUCUUACGUAUUCUGAAGAUUCUUUACCAAGCCACUUUGACAACAAGUCUAGCUCCUCACUGGCCGUAAGACCCAAGUCUUUGAUUGUGUUGAUAAAAGAGGACCUCCAGGCUCUGUAACUUUCAGGGUGAUCAUCAAAGCGUGUUAAACCACUGCUCACCAGCUCACGACGUGCAAGAUAUUUCACUAGGUCCAUCAUGCCUGAAGUUUCUGAGUGUUGUGGCAAAGAUCUGGAUACACCGCUGCACUUAGCCUGUUGCUGCCAUUUAUUGCUGACUGGUAUUUCUAUUGACUCUUUUUUCAUGUUUCUUGGGAGUUUUACUUGUUGCAGUUUUGGCACUCUUAGAGAUGGAGAUGUAGAACAUGCAUCAAGUACGACAUACUGGUCAUCAUUCACAUGCACUAUAUUUGGUUCAGUUUGAGAGGUAAACUGGUUCUGAUCCGUCACUUGGUCUGGUUCAGAUUUGCAAUCAUGAGACUGAUCAGCGGUUAAGUCGGCCUGCUCACUGAGAUAUGUAGCUUGAUCCCUGACAUAAUCACAAACACGUUUUUUUGUGCUUUGUGCUGAUGAAGAGUGACUUUUCCUUUCAUAUGGCUCCUCAUCCUCAAACUCUGCUGCUGCUUCUAAUAUAUCCGCUUCUGCACUAGCAGCUGCAGCCUCUUUUUCCAGAUGUAGGGCUUCCAAAUUAGCUUGUAGUCUGGCUGAGUCCACUUUAAUUGCAAUUUCUCUCUCUGAAAAGGUAACUCGUGCACCAACACCAACUGAAGAUCUUGAUGAUCUUGAAGUUCUUAUGGAACUUUUAGAGGAUGUGUCAGAUGCUCUGUUACUUUUACUUUGUAUCUU
ensembl:lncRNA